rnacentral:ncRNA from 2 species
CUGAAACUUUAGGGGUGCUGACUUUGUCGGCUGAGAUGAUGACCCUUGGAACCUGAUCCGGUUAAUACUGGCGAAGGGAAAAGUUAGAACGCUUCA